GCAAAGCACUUUGAAGAGAGAGUUAAAAAGGACGUGAAACCGGUGAGGUGGAAACGGACAGAGCCUGCGUAUCUAGCCUGUCUUCAGCUGUUAGCCCUCGGGCGUCGUGCUGUUGUCCUCCAGACUGGCACGGUAGUGCGACUGCCCGGGGGCUUGUGGUGCAUUUGCAGGUGGAGUGCGCUGAGGCGUUCGGUGCAGCGGCAUGAACUCGGUUUUGAGGCCAGCCCUUCACGGGGUCUGGUACCCGGGCCGGGGGAGUGUUGUUUGUACUGGCUGGAUGAUGGGGGCAUGGAAUCGGGCUCGAGUGGGUGCCGAGCUGGCAGUCGGUGGCGGUCGCGUGCGACACGUGCCAGCGGUCAGUUCGGUCCUGCUCGAGCUCACAGGGCCCCGACCUCGGUGUAAAAGCCGGUUAUCUGUCCGACCCGUCUUGAAACACGGACCAAGGAGUUUAGCGUGUGCGCGAGUCGUUGGGCGUUGAAAACCCAGAGGCGCAAUGAAAGUGAAGGUCUCCCUUGCGGAGCUCAUGUGUGACCUGGGCCCUUGAGAGGGCACAGAGCAACAUGGUCCCGUCCCGACCGCAUGCGGUGGGGCGGAGACAGAGCGUACGCGCUGAGACCCGAAAGAUGGUGAACUAUUCCUGAGCAGGACGAAGCCAGAGGAAACUCUGGUGGAAGUCCGAAGCGAUUCUGACGUGCAAAUCG
rnacentral:rRNA from 1 species